rnacentral:rRNA from 1 species
AGGACGAACGCUGGCGGCGUGCUUAACACAUGCAAGUCGAACGGAAAGGCCCUUUCGGGGGUACUCGAGUGGCGAACGGGUGAGCAACACGUGGGUGAUCUGCCCUGCACUUUGGGAUAAGCCUGGGAAACUGGGUCUAAUACCGAAUACACCUUGCUGGCUGCAUGGCUGGUGGGGGAAAGCUUUUGCGGUGUGGGAUGGGCCCGCGGCCUAUCAGCUUGUUGGUGGGGUGAUGGCCUACCAAGGCGACGACGGGUA